UCACACUUCCUAAGCCGUGUGUUAUUGAAUACAGAGGUGGGUUCCGGGUUAUGACGUCAUAAAUAACGCCGCGUCAUGAAGAACUGAAGCCCUGGGCACAAGAUGAAUGAGCCGAGACUUGGGGCAAGGGUGACAGCGCUGUCCCCUGAGUCACAAGCAGUAGUCAAGCCAGGACGGUCCUCCUGGCCCUUGCUGUAGGGGAGCUUUUUCAUCCAGAAGGAUCGGGCAAAUAAAGGAUGGGAAAACCCAGCUGGGCCUGACGCAAAUCUUGCCUCCGAAGCAAAUGGCUUUUGGUUCACGUCCAGGAGACCCAGCCAUGAACGCGCCUGUUGGAAAAGCUGCUGAUCUGGGGGACAAGAGAAUGAGGUCUCCGAGCCGGAGGGCCGCUGGGGAGGUCAGCUUCGUGAGCAGAGGGAGGAAGGGGUGAGGGCCUGGGUGUUUCCCCAACUCCUGUGUCUUUGCAAAACUCUCCUGGAUUACUGGCUGAUUUAUCCUGACAUCCACUGCGAAGCCAAGCGGUGAAGGCACU